rnacentral:lncRNA from 1 species
AAUUUGAACAGCCUCAGGUGUUACCUCCUGUGAACAAAACCAGGGUCUGAACACAGACUAUUUGCUACUGUACAUCUUUAUUGCUAACAAUAUGUCCGAGUACAUGCAGUAUGUCAUAGUAUAUGAAGUAAUAAAUUUAAGCCAAUAAUACAGUUGUAAUGGAAAUCAGGGAGGGAGGGGGAUAUUUCCUGUUACACCUAUAAUUUUAUCAGUGGUAUUAAAGUAUGCAGCUUGGAAAUGUGUGCAUGUACUUACUAAAGAAAUAAAGCAAUAUAAAAAUACUGAAAACACCCAUAAAAAUGUAAUUUUUAAUUUUGGAAAACUAUGUUUCUUUGUCUAUCCAUUCAAAUUCCUCCUUUUGCUAAAGUAAAUGGAAAUCAAUGAAUUUUUAUUGAACAUCCCUCUUCGUAAACUUUUUUCACCAUCAGUAAGAACAGUAACACAUUUUCCUUCCAGCUGGUGGUAGGUAGAAAUACCUAAAGGCAAUAUAUACAAAAGUGAUUUCAUUUAUUGAACAUGCCGGAUUCUGAAAAUAACAUUUGCUUGAACACGUCUAUUCUGUUAAAGAUAUGAAAAUAACUACAGUGUUUUUUUUUUCAUUUGAAAGGAAACUUCUCUUAAUAUUAAGAAGAAAAAUAUAUAUGAAAUGAAAAAUGUGGAUCAUUCACUAUCUUAAUUAAACAGAAACUUUACAAGUAUGCUGAUGUUAUCACUGUAUGUGACAGAAAAUAUGAGAAUGCAUGUGCAUGCCUAUUUGUUGUUUUGUGUAAUUCUAUUUGCAAGUCAGUUAGAAGGAUUAGCUGAUACUUCAGCUACAUUGGACAACAACAAAGAUGGAAACAAAAUAGAAGACGGCAAGUCCACAUGUCACAAAGAAAUCAGACACUAUAAAAUUUGAAGGACAUCAGGAAAACAAAGUAGAAAAGCAAAAUUGCACCAUUUGGUUCAACAUGACUGGACUGAUAAACAUGGCUAGAUCAAUUUCUUUAUCAUCAGUGGACAACAUGCAAAAUAUUGCUUACAAAAUUCUUCAAACAUAUAACAACCUGUUUAAUAUUUAUACAAAACGAGCUAGAGCGAUUUCUGGACAAAUGCAAAUAAAUAAACAAAGGUUAAACAAACUAGAACAGGAUUUAGACAGUUUGGUGGAGGAAUUGUAUCAAAAAUAUGAGACAUCAGACCCGGAUAUGAAACCAGUAGUGAAAAUAUUACUUGAAAAAGCUUUAGAUGAGAGGGAAAAACUCAGUCGGAAGAAAGCUACAGAGUACAGUAUUCUGGAGUGUAGUGCAGUGAUGGGAACAAACUGUGACACUAAUGACGACUGUUAUGGAAAAGGCUGUUUGUUACAGUGCAAGACGUCUGGAUAUCUCUGGUGGUGGGAAAGUGUGUGCAGAUGAAAUGAAAAGCAUGAAGAGUAUAAGGAAAUAUCUUGCUGAAAUAUUGUUAAACUUCAUUGAUCUAUUCAGCAUUGUUGACAAACACAAUGUUUUUCACAAGUUGAACAAAUACUCGACACUUAAGAAUGUUUUUAUAACUUGUUGUUAAUAAAUAUGUCCCUUUAAAAGUACUGUUAUUUUAAAAUAAAAAAAAAACAACAUAAUUUUCAAAAAAGAUCUUGUUUCUAAUUUAUGUAUUAAAGUAGUUCUGCACGCUCGGAUUGAAAUUUUUUCUACAAUGUAGAAUUUGAUAAAACUCUUUAUUUUUCAAAACUUCAGAACAUACUUAAAAAUAUAGCAAAUAAAAAAAUAAGGUAAUGUACUCGAUUUUUUGCUAGAGUGAUUAGAAAAAUUUGGACCUCAGGCAAUUUUUCAUAACAUUUUCCCAUAUAGAAUUUUUUUCUACAAUGUAGAUUGUAAUGAAACUUCUCACAGUUGUAAAUAAACAUAUGGCCUUCAAUGUGGUGAAA